UACGAAGGGGGCUAGCGUUGCUCGGAAUCACUGGGCGUAAAGGGUGCGUAGGCGGCGGAGUAAGUCGGAUGUGAAAUUUGGAGGCUCAACCUCCAACUUGCAUCUGAUACUGCUUCGCUAGAGACCUGGAGAGGAGUUUGGAAUUCUCGGUGUAGCAGUGAAAUGCGUAGAUUUCGAGAAGAACGCUCGCAGCGAAAGCGAAACUCUGGACAGCGUCUGACGCUGAGGCACGAAGGCUAGGGGAGCAAAGCGGGAUUAGAA
rnacentral:rRNA from 1 species